AAGUAAAUGACCAGAUAACUGGAUAUAUAUGAUAAGUAAAUACUUGAACAAAUAUAAGGAUUUAAAGCAAUGAAUAUAACCUCAGAUAGUUGACCAGAUAACUGGAUGAGGGAUCUGCGUAAAGUAGUCAACCUCUGUAUUUAACCAGAUAACUGGAAGAGGGAUCCUUUUUAAUUAAGUGUUGAUUUAGUUGUUUUAGAUAAAAGAUAAAACUAUAAUUAACAGAGAACAACACAAGAGAUUUAUACUGGUUCACCCAAACAAGGGCUAGUCCAGUCCCGACCAACUGCCGAAAUUCACUCGCCUAAAGGUUAUGGCAAAACCUUAGAGUAUCAAGGAAACUCUUAAGAACCUCUCUAAGCUUUAAGGCUACUUCGCUUAGGAACCAGUCUUUUACGGGUAGACUCACACCUUAGAGUAUCAAGGGCACUCUUAAGAACCUCUAACUUUUGAGGGUAAGUUAGUACCUUAGAGUAUCAAGGAACUCUUAAAAACCUCUCUAAGUUUUAAGACUACUUCGCUUAGGAACCAGUCUUUUACGGGUAGACUUACACCUUAGAGUAUCAAGGGCACUCUUAAGAACCUCUAACUUUUACGGGUAAGUUAGUACCAUAGAGUAUCAAGGAACUCUUAAAAACCUCUGAAAUCUUUCAAGGUAGACUCGACCUAAGAGUUUUCCCGGAAACUCUAUAAAACCAAACUAGAGUUUUAUGGUUGAGCUCAAAAACCUUCUCUCACACUUUGGUACUAUUGAGACAACCCUCUCAACCAAAGUGGACACACACAAGAGGUGAUUAGAGGAGUGGAAUAUUAAAGCAAACAACACUUCUUACUUGUAAAGAUGAACAAGAAGAUUAGAAGAAGAAGUUGGAGAGCUUUUGAAGCUUUGGAAGCUAG
rnacentral:lncRNA from 1 species